GAUGAACGCUGGCGGCGUGCCUAACACAUGCAAGUCGAGCGAUUCUCUUCGGAGAAGAGCGGCGGACGGGUGAGUAACGCGUGGGUAACCUGCCCUGUACACACGGAUAACAUACCGAAAGGUAUGCUAAUACGAGAUAAUAUGCUUUUAUCGCAUGGUAGAAGUAUCAAAGCUUUUGCGGUACAGGAUGGACCCGCGUCUGAUUAGCUAGUUGGUAAGGUAACGGCUUACCAAGGCGACGAUCAGUAGCCGACCUGAGAGGGUGAUCGGCCACAUUGGAACUGAGACACGGUCCAAACUCCUACGGGAGGCAGCAGUGGGGAAUAUUGCACAAUGGGCGAAAGCCUGAUGCAGCAACGCCGCGUGAGCGAUGAAGGCCUUCGGGUCGUAAAGCUCUGUCCUCAAGGAAGAUAAUGACGGUACUUGAGGAGGAAG
rnacentral:rRNA from 1 species